AGGGUGCAUAAAAUUCAAAGGGUGAAUAAAUACUAUGAAGAAUUUCCUGAUAUCCAUUCACCCCUUUUCUGUAUCUAUUCACCCCGUUUACCCCUUUCUACCAUUUUAACAGCGUUUUCCAUCUUUUGCAAAAUCCAUUGGCGUUCUUUUUGACAGAAGCUGGUGAUCCGUUUUCUAUGAGAUUACUGAAAAACAACUAUGCCGUAAUAAGGCCUACACGUUUUUUUUGUAGGCUUUAUUAGGGCAUGGCACAUAGGUAAACAAAACAACGAUUAUAUGAAAUACACCGAUAUUAUAGCUAUUUCACUAAUGUGAGGAGAUGGCUAAAUGUAUAAUUGUCAUACAGACAAAACACGGCACGUCGUAUACUGAUAAAUAUAAAAAUACUAACAGUUUACGCUACUCGAAUUUUAUAAAAACUAAAGUGAGCUCCACGUCGUGAUUGUUUUCGUCUGUAGGUUCCAACAUAAUCGCGGCACGGGUUGCUUGCUGUGCUCAAAUUAGUUAAGUAAUGUGCAUGCACACUUCUACAAACUUUGGCGACCAUUUGACAUCGGGAAGAGGGAAAUUUUCAAAAUAGGCUUUAUUGGGGCAUAGGCCUUAUUUGGUUAGGGUACUAUACAU